CAGAGAGUUAUGUCUCCACUGUCUGUUUUAAGUGCCCAUUGGAUUGGAAAUCAUAUCAUUAGAGCAACCUAUCAGUUUAGUUUCUCCAAAUCUUGAUGGGUGUGGAAACAGAUUGGCAAGAAGAGCCAAUCCAUGGGACUUAAAAGCAUGGACAUGGAGUGAGGUUUGUCUCAAACCUCCUCCAAAACUCAACAGUUCGUCUGAGCUCAGUCAAUGGCUGCUAACUACAGCAAGGCAAUGAUCUAGAGGUAGCAGAGGUUUGGCUAUUGCUUGGCGAACCGGCAAGUCACAAAUCGGCAACCGGCUCAGUCAUGAGUCUUUUAAUUUAAGGAUAUCUUUCAAUUCUGUUAUGUUAUUUUGAGUUCUUGCAUGAGAAUGUAAUAAUACAAGUGUUUGUGGUUUUAAUGUGAUGAUUCUCUUCUCUUUAUCAGUUCAGUUGCUGCAAAACGUGUUGAGUAAAAACUGAAAUAUGAAGAAAGACUUUGAGGAUACAACAAAGUCUGGAAUCUGCAAAUAGCAAAAACUCGAAGAAUUCCCUUAGAAAUUGCUAUAAGGAAAUUGUAUGAUUGUAGAACCGGAAAGAAUAGGAAACUAUUUAGGAUUGGUUUCUGAUAUCUUGCUCUGAUAACAAUAGGAAGUAUAUAUAGAGUAUAGAAGGCACCCAUUCAAUUUAUCUGAAAAUGUGCAACGCCACUUUCUCAAAGGACACUACCAAAUAUCAUGUCUGUUGGUAUAUACCAUUUCAACCAAAAGACAAAUUAGUUGGUAUGUACCAUUUAGCCAAAAGAUAUAUAAUUGAUUUAACCAAAAGACAUAUUGAUGAAUCA